rnacentral:rRNA from 1 species
GAUGAACGCUGGCGGCGUGCCUAAUACAUGCAAGUCGAGCGAACGGACGAGAAGCUUGCUUCUCUGAUGUUAGCGGCGGACGGGUGAGUAACACGUGGAUAACCUACCUAUAAGACUGGGAUAACUUCGGGAAACCGUAGCUAAUACCGGAUAAUAUUUUGAACGGCAUGGUUCAAAAGUGAAAGACGGUCUUGCUGUCACUUAUAGAUGGAUCCGCGCUGCAUUAGCUAGUUGGUAAGGUAACGGCUUACCAAGGCAACGAUGCAUAGCCGACCUGAGAGGGUGAUCCGCCACACUGGAACUGAGACACGGUCCAGACUCCUACGGGAGGCAGCAGUAGGGACUCUUCCGCAAUGGGCGAAAGCCUGACGGAGCAACGCCGCGUGAGUGAUGAAGGUCUUCGGAUCGUAAAACUCUGUUAUUAGGGAAGAACAUAUGUGUAAGUAACUGUGCACAUCUUGACGGUACCUAAUCAGAAAGCAACGGCUAACUACGUG